UUUUCAUCAGACAAUCUGUGUGAGCACUGCAAAGUACGCUUCUUUAAGGUAAGGAGGUGAUCCAACCGCAGGUUCCCCUACGGUUACCUUGUUACGACUUCACCCCAGUCAUGAAUCACAAAGUGGUAAGCGCCCUCCCGAAGGUUAAGCUACCUACUUCUUUUGCAACCCACUCCCAUGGUGUGACGGGCGGUGUGUACAAGGCCCGGGAACGUAUUCACCGUGGCAUUCUGAUCCACGAUUACUAGCGAUUCCGACUUCAUGGAGUCGAGUUGCAGACUCCAAUCCGGACUACGACGCACUUUAUGAGGUCCGCUUGCUCUCGCGAGGUCGCUUCUCUUUGUAUGCGCCAUUGUAGCACGUGUGUAGCCCUGGUCGUAAGGGCCAUGAUGACUUGACGUCAUCCCCACCUUCCUCCAGUUUAUCACUGGCAGUCUCCUUUGAGUUCCCGGCCGGACCGCUGGCAACAAAGGAUAAGGGUUGCGCUCGUUGCGGGACUUAACCCAACAUUUCACAACACGAGCUGACGACAGCCAUGCAGCACCUGUCUCACGGUUCCCGAAGGCACAUUCUCAUCUCUGAAAACUUCCGUGGAUGUCAAGACCAGGUAAGGUUCUUCGCGUUGCAUCGAAUUAAACCACAUGCUCCACCGCUUGUGCGGGCCCCCGUCAAUUCAUUUGAGUUUUAACCUUGCGGCCGUACUCCCCAGGCGGUCUACUUAACGCGUUAGCUCCGGAAGCCACGCCUCAAGGGCACAACCUCCAAGUAGACAUCGUUUACGGCGUGGACUACCAGGGUAUCUAAUCCUGUUUGCUCCCCACGCUUUCGCACCUGAGCGUCAGUCUUUGUCCAGGGGGCCGCCUUCGCCACCGGUAUUCCUCCAGAUCUCUACGCAUUUCNNNNNNNNNNNNNNNNNNNNCCCCCCUCUACAAGACUCAAGCCUGCCAGUUUCGAAUGCAGUUCCCAGGUUGAGCCCGGGGAUUUCACAUCCGACUUGACAGACCGCCUGCGUGCGCUUUACGCCCAGUAAUUCCGAUUAACGCUUGCACCCUCCGUAUUACCGCGGCUGCUGGCACGGAGUUAGCCGGUGCUUCUUCUGCGGGUAACGUCAAUUGCUGCGGUUAUUAACCACAACACCUUCCUCCCCGCUGAAAGUACUUUACAACCCGAAGGCCUUCUUCAUACACGCGGCAUGGCUGCAUCAGGCUUGCGCCCAUUGUGCAAUAUUCCCCACUGCUGCCUCCCGUAGGAGUCUGGACCGUGUCUCAGUUCCAGUGUGGCUGGUCAUCCUCUCAGACCAGCUAGGGAUCGUCGCCUUGGUGAGCCGUUACCUCACCAACAAGCUAAUCCCAUCUGGGCACAUCUGAUGGCAAGAGGCCCGAAGGUCCCCCUCUUUGGUCUUGCGACGUUAUGCGGUAUUAGCCACCGUUUCCAGUAGUUAUCCCCCUCCAUCAGGCAGUUUCCCAGACAUUACUCACCCGUCCGCCACUCGUCAGCAAAGCAGCAAGCUGCUUCCUGUUACCGUUCGACUUGCAUGUGUUAGGCCUGCCGCCAGCGUUCAAUCUGAGCCAUGAUCAAACUCUUCAAUUUAAAAGUUUGAUGCUCAAUGAAUUAAACUUCGUAAUGAAUUACGUGUUCACUCUUGAGACUUGGUAUUCAUUUUUCG
rnacentral:rRNA from 1 species